GAAAUAAUAAAAAUUAAAGAGUAAGCUUCUAACUUAACCCUUAAGCGUUGUAAUACGUUUUUAUUUCU
rnacentral:tRNA from 1 species